GCUCUGUCCUGCUUGUCUUUCUCAGCUUUUGCUUUGUGCAAUCAGGGGAGGAACCCCACGCAGGGGAACGGUUAGUGGCUUUGGGGUCUCUUUGGUGGCCCUGUUUGAAGGAGGAGGCAGGCCAAGGGUGCAGGGUCAGGCCCAGGGGCAGAAAGGGAUGAGGCGAUGACCACAGUCGGGGAUCCAGGCCCGGCAAGCGGCAGAGGUGCCGGAGAGGACCAGCCGCCGGGCAGAGAUCGAAGCAGAAAAACAUUUAUGGCCGCGCGCCCGAAAGCGGGGAGCAAGGCCGGGGCUCUGGUAGCCCUGGGAAGGUUGCCUUCCUGAGGUCUUUAAAAAAGAGGAGAGAGAGCGAGAGAGAGAGAGAGAAGGGAGGGGUUGGGGCGCCUUGAAUUUUCCUUCCCGGGCUUGGAGCGCAGCGCAUUUCUGUAAAGGAAGAGAAGAGCACCGCCCUGGAUCUUUCCACGUCCGCCUCAUUCUAUCCAGGCCUCUCCCCUUGCCCGAGCUCUCAGCCGCCACCAGGAGACUGACACGGAAGGGGCUUCUGGGCCGCCCCCCACCAACUCCUGCCUGGUUUCCCAAACUUCAGCGACCUCCAGCCCUCUUUGGGUGGAAAAUAGCAGGGCCCAGGCACCUCUUCUUCUUGUCAUUUGUGACCCGUGCUCUCAUCAGGAAUAUCUUACAAAGAAGGAGAGGAAGAAAGGCUGGCUAGAGCCCUGUUUAUAUCUAGUUCUGCAGAUCCCUUCACAUCUGGAGAGUUUAUUUAUAACUCCCACUAUAACUCUCUCUGUUUGGAGGCACUGGUGGCUCUAUUGACAGACUGAUGUCUAGAAAAUAUUGCUCUAUCUCUAACCAUAUCUAAAUGUGCUGCGGUUGUAUGUACAGAUUUAUGCUCGAGGGAAAUAUAAUUAUUUCCAUUGUAUUUGUGCAUAUACAAUAGUUAUAGGAGCAGAUUUAUAUAUGGGAAAAUAUAUGACUCUCUUAUAGCCAUCCAGCUUUAUGGACAUUUGAUAUCCUGACAGAUUUAUAGCUCUGAGCAGCUAUAUAGAUAAAUGCAUAUCGUGGAAAUUAUGUAUCAGGAGAUAUAUACUUAUUGAUUGUGAUAUAGAGUAGUUAGAGCAUUCACUUAGCGCCCUAUAUGGCUAUGGAGUUGUUUCUAUAUUAUUAUCACUAUAUAUAGGCAUAUCUAUUUAUAAUGACAUAGUUAUAAAAAUAGACAUAAGUAAUUAUAGUCCUAUAUGUACAUGCUGCUAUCUUGCUAGAGUUAUAGACCCUUGUGCGUAUAACUCUGUAGGGAUAUCUGUAUGUAUAUAAGGGUGUAAUUAUCUCAUGAUGUGUGUGUCCUGGGGCUUAGGCCAGUCUGUCUCUGUUCAGGCAUAUUUAUAUGCAGGGGCUGGGAGAGACUUGUUCACGGAAAUGUUUUCAGAGGGCCACCUCAGAGGCUGUAUCUGGCCAUCUAGGAAACCAGAGUUCUUUGCUUCACGGAGGGCUGGAGUUACCAAGGGGUGAACAGAGCCUAGGAAGCCUCCCGGGAGAGGAGGCAGAAGGUAGGAGAUGGGGACCGGGAACAGAUAGUUAAGGGGGAAAGAGGUGAAAAACGUGGGGACCGCAGAAGGCAGAACCGGUUUUGUGAGAGGCUGCAGCUUAAGGAAGGGGAGGCAGUGAAAGUCUGAGAACCCAGAUACACUCUCCACCCUCCACCGAGGGAGAGGGCAGACCUUAAAGGGCCUUCAGUGUGGCGUUUAGGACACCACAAGUCAGCUCUGGCCUAUCCUACGCCUGGUGCAAUUUCUCUUGAACCCUAAUCUUGGGAUCUCAAAGGGUGAGCUUUAGGGGUGAAGAAACAUAGGAGGGACAGGGCAGGAAGAGGGGGGCACUUUCACCACCUCUGCUCUCUGGUAACAGGGCCAGGAAAUCAGGGUAACAUGACCCUACAAAGCUUGUUUUCGCCUGGGCUUCCUGUGCCCCCAGAAAGUCUGGUGGAUUCAGGGGUGAAUUUUCCAGUAUGGGGCCUAUUCUGAUGGGAGUUUGGGGAGAACCCCCCCUUCUCUUCUCGGAGGCCCGGGCUUCGAGGGUCUAAUUCUGCGACUGGGCCACUUCCUCUCUGUUGUUUCCCAAAUUGGGGUUUCCUGGAAGCCCCCUCCAGCUCCCUAAAUGCCCUGCCUUGGGCUUUUAGGGGAGAAUUGGACCUUAAUGAGCAAGAAUGUGAACCUGAACCUCUAUCCCGCACUCCUCCCACUCCCAUCAACUGGCUGUCCUGCUAGCCCCCUUCCAGGCGCCACUGAGUCCAGGCUCCACAACUGUCUCCAGCCAUCAGCUACCUCCCCCCCCCCCCCCCCCCCCCCCCCGGGGGGGGGGACUAGGAUGCAGGGGGAGAGGAGACACCCUCAACCCCAUUUCUUUUUUUCUUUUUCUUUUUUUUUUUUAACCAGGGAGUCACAGGCAUCUUUGCUGAACAUUUUGCCAAGAGUUUCUCUGCUCUUAGUUUCAGAGGCCAGCUGGGCUUCCAGGAUCUCUGGGAUGCGGGAAAGGGAGUAGAGACCCCUCGGCUGGGGUUAAAAGCCAAACGCCAGCCCCCAUACAACUCUGCUCUCUGGAUUGGAGUGCCAGGGCAGGGACUCUAUCUGCUGCCUGGCACAGAGGAGUUGCCCAAUACAUACUUGUUGCAGGAAACUGAGUGGCAAUCAAUGCAAAAGCUUUUGGCAGAGGGAGCCUCACCCUUCAUGGCCUGCCCAGGCUAGCAGGCAUCUGAGUACCCAGGCUGGAGCUGGGCAGGGGGAUCGCGUGGCUGGUGGCUGCAGACAGCUCUGGUAGGAGAGUAGCCUGAGCCCAGAGGUGGGGGGUUAGAGGAUGGAGCCAGGAAAUGGGGGAGGGGGCAAAGCAGGCUCAGUUCCCCACCCUCAGUCUCCAGGCUCCCCAGACUCCCAAGGAUAGGAAAACUAAACCAGAGCGGAGCCCUGGGAUGGGAUGGAGUUGCCUGUGGGCCUGAGGGGCUCAAAGAGGAAGCACCACUUGAUCCAUUAAGAAAUACACAGAUGAAACAAACAUAAAUCAGCGGAGGCAGCCAGCCUGGCUAAAGAAAGGCCUCUGUGCCUGAGCCCUGUUCUGGGGAUGCUACCAAACUGAUCAGAAUUCAUGUUUAGGGAAAGAAAAAAAUUUUUUUUGGUUCAGCCCUCUGCAUGCAGAAGUUCCCAGGCCAAGGAUCAAACCCAUCACUGGACCCUUAACCCAGUGAGCCACCAGGGAACUCCUAGAAAAGAUUUUUUUUUUUAAACUUUAAAAAGCUCAUCAAUUUUCUGAUCCAGUAAUGCCCCCUAAUCAGGUCAUUUCACACAGUUAUUUCUUGUCAUCCUUCCCCCUGUUUUGGUCCCUGUAGAAUAGUUCCUUCUGGGAGUCUGGGGACAGGUGGUUAUAAACAGUGAAUGAAGUGCGAUAGGCAGGUUUAGCAUUUCCCCGUCUAGUGAGGAUCCAGGUCUGCAGGGAAGGGUUUACUUCCCCUUCUCCCAUCAAGACUUGAACCCUCACAAAUUUGGUUCCUUUUUUCUCUAAGGACUCAUAGAGGCAAUCUGCCCGGUGUCUGGGUGAGGGACUGAGGUCCGGAGAGGAGGUGAAGGUAAACCUGGAAUCUCAUUUCUAGGGCCUCAGUCUUUGAUAGUUUCCUCCUCAGACACCCAGUCCCCCCUGCCCAACUUCCCACUGGGAUGGAGAAUGCUUUUCCUAAGGACACGCAGAGAGGGAGAUAAGAGGCUGGUAUUUACAUACAUUUGCCUAAACAGGACUUGGGCAGGUGCCUGGGCGCUGGCCAGGAGGUGGGGGCAGUUCGCUGUAAACCUCAGGACCUGCGGGUUCACAUAACAGUUGUCUUUGGCCAAAAGGCAGGAAAUGAAGAGAUGCUGGCCAAGCACUGUUGAGCCUGGAGAGUUUGGAUUCCUUUACUUGGGCUGGAAUGACUCUUAGCUGUUUCGGGGUCCCAGACCCUUUUGAGAAGCUGAUACAAACAAUCCACUCUCUCCCCAGCAAAUGCACGAACACCGUGUUGACGGUCGCCGGGAUUAUAUGGACCCGGGAAGCUCUGGGUUGGGUGUCCCUAAUCUGUAUAUGUAUUUACCUUUUCUUUCUGUGACCCAGUCCCAGCUGUCUGCCUCUGCCUUCCCCCAGUCCCCUUGCCUGGGAGUCAGGAAAUUCCUCCCCAGGUAUAAGCCCUGCCAUUCCUGGCAUAGCUCUUCUCCUUCUUUCCUUCAAGAGCACAGGCAUCAGGCAGAGGCUUUGCACGCUUCUGCCUCUGCCGAGCUCCUUAUCUGCUCUCCUGCAGAAACCAGGCAAGUGGCUGUUAACAGAAGCCUGGUCUCCACUGCCCAAUUACUCCACUAAUUCCUGAGGGUGGGUGGGGGGGCAUCUGGGGGGGCAUCUUGGCAGCCGUGGAAGCCUGGCUAUAAGGGGACCAAUUCCCAUCUCUAGUGGAAACUUGGAAGCAAGGAGCAAGUUGCAAUUGCUAUAAUAAUAGUCAUAAUAAUAACAAUAAUAAUUUAUUUAGCAUAUCAUUAGAUGUGUAUUUACUGUCUUCCCUCUGCUUUUUUACAAGUGUCUCCUAAGGAAUUCUCACAACACCCAGGGGAAACAAUCAGAAGCUAAUUACCACCCUUCAGCUCCUUCUCCCCCUCCCAUCCACAAAGUCACCCUCUCAGAGAUGGAGCGUUUACAGAACACCCCCCCCACCAUGUUUUCACCUGCUCAACACGGUCCCCCCCAGUUCCAAUUCUCCUCUCCCAUUCCCAGCUUUUCCCACUCCCAUUAGGGAAGUUUCUCCAUAAUUAGGAGGAGGAAAGGCGAGGGAGGGAAGCAGCGGAAGCCCAGAGAGUUGUGGGUAUUAAUAUUGUUUCUUCGACAUCAUAAGGAUAUUUCGGAUAAUGUGGGCAGCACCGAAUUCUUACUUCUCUGAUUGCUCUUUGGGGGCAGAAACUGCCUGCACAGGGUUUAGAAGCUGACCAGGUUCGAAAGAGAUCUUGGGAUGCCCCGAUGCCAAAACAUCUGAAUCAAGUCUAAGAGGGGUGGCCCGUCCUGCACAUGUGACAGCUACAGCCAUGGCCUUCAGAUUGUUCAGGCCAGACCUGGGAGAUGCCAGGCCCCACAGAUCUAUUAGCCUCUUUUGACAAUGGAAAGAAAAGGAGGCAGGAAGGAAGGAAAGAAGGAAGGCAUAGGUAUAUGCGCGCGCGCGUGCGCGCGUGUGUGUGUGUGUGUAAAUGUAUCUGUACAUACAUAUUCAUAUACUUAUUUUUCCUGAGUGAAUAACCGUGACAAUGGCUAUACUUUUAAAGAUAUUCAUUUCUGGAGUUCCUGUCGUGGUGCAGCAGAAACGAAUCCAACUAGGAACCAUGAGGUUGCGGGUUUGAUUCCUGGCCUUGCUCAAUGGGUUAAGGAUCUGGCGUUGCCGUGAGCUGUGGUGUAGGUCGCAGACACGGCUCAGAGGAGGGCUUGCUGUGGCUGUGACACAGGCUGGCAGCUGUAGCUCCAAACAGACCCCUAGCCUGGGAACCUCCAUAUGCCACGGGUGUGGCCCUCGAAAGCAAAAAUAAAAUAAAAUAAAAAA
rnacentral:lncRNA from 1 species